AUUACAAUUAAGUGGCCGUUGAUAAGAAAUUUCAAUUAAUUUAAAAAAAAAAAUAAUUAAUUGAAUUAUUUCAAUGGAUAAAAAUAAAUUACGACCUGACUUGCAGGGAAUUAUAAAUAAAUUUGUUGAUCUGAGUGUUGAACAUUGUGCGCUAAAAAAAAAUCUAAAUGCUCAAGAAGAAAUCGUUAAUUUGUUUAAUAUGAAUGCGAAUAAAGCGCAGGAGAGAUUAGAUAAAUUAAUUCCUGCUGUGGAGAAAUAUUAUGAAAAUAAAGAGAGACAAGUGCGAGAUCUUAAAAGACAGAUAAGAAAUCUUGAAGAUGAAAAAGAAAUAAUUCAAUGCGACAAAACAAUAAUUGAAGAAAAACAUCGAGAAGAAAUGGAAAAUUUAAAUAAAAAAUAUCAAAAUGAAUUAAUGAAUUUAAAAAAAAAAUAUGAUGAAGAAAUAAAUGAACUUAAAAUUCUUAUUGAUUCGCAAAAAAUUACGAUAAAAAAAUUAACAGAAGAAAUAAAAAAAAAUGGUGACUUUGUUCACCCGGCUUUGUAUGAAACAAUUACGGGUGGUAAUAAAAAAAGGCCGAAAAAUAAGAAAAAAACUGCUCAAGUAUUUGACUGGCCUAGUCUUGAUAUUGAACUGUCGCAGUCUAAUAAAAAUGAUGAAACGGUUGUUGAGAAAAAAAAAAGAAGACUUUAUACGCCCAGCGAAGAAGCGGUUGUUGAUCUUGAUUAAAAUAUUUAUUUACAAUCAAUUAUAUCAGUGUAAUCAAAUUUGAUAGCUAUUUUAUCAAGUAUUUAGUAAUUUUUUAAAUUAAAUUAAAUUUAUAUAUUAAUUUUUUUUUAUUCAAGUAUAAAAAGUACAAAUUUGUUAGGUGAGUAAUUACUUUGGUCCAUACCAUUGUCCAUUAAUUAAAAUAAAAAUCUAAACUAAUUAUUAUUUAUAAAAAUAUAAUUAAAAAUUAUUUACAAUUAUUUUUAAUUAACAUUAAUUAUUAAUAAAAAUUCUACAUU